rnacentral:rRNA from 1 species
GACGAACGCUGGCGGCGUGCCUAAUACAUGCAAGUAGAACGCACAGUUUAUACCGUAGCUUGCUACACCAUAGACUGUGAGUUGCGAACGGGUGAGUAACGCGUAGGUAACCUGCCUGGUAGCGGGGGAUAACUAUUGGAAACGAUAGCUAAUACCGCAUAAUAUUAAUUAUUGCAUGAUAAUUAAUUGAAAGGUGCAAUUGCACCACUACCAGAUGGACCUGCGUUGUAUUAGCUAGUAGGUGAGGUAACGGCUCACCUAGGCGACGAUACAUAGCCGACCUGCGAGGGUGAUCGGCCACACUGGGACUGAGACACGGCCCAGACUCCUACGGGAGGCAGCAGUAGGGAAUCUUCGGCAAUGGACGAAAGUCUGACCGAGCAACGCCGCGUGAGUGAAGAAGGUUGUCGGAUCGUAAAGCUCUGUUGUAAGAGAAGAACGGGUGUGAGAGUGGAAAGUUCACACUGUGACGGUAUCUUACCAGAAAGGGACGGCUAACUACGUG